GGCUUCGCAGUGGAGAGGAGGCGGGUCUUGACUGGUUACCUGGGUAACCACUCCAACACUGGUGUUGAUAGGAUGGCAAUGAGGAAGGGUUUGACACCUAAAACUAGCAACCAGUUGGUGAUCAACUCUGUUGCCUUUCAAGACCACAUCACACGCAGCCGGCUGCAUCCAAAUUUCUCCCUUUCUGACCCUUUUUUGCUGAUAUGCAAAAGAAAAACACCCAGAAAAAGAGUGGAGGAGAGGGGUCUGCAGACACAAGAUGGGCAAGAAGAGAGAGAAUAUGUGCUGGAUUCUGCACCACCUCCUUUAACAUUAGCUCAGAAGUUGGGUUUGGUGGCCUCCCCUGCAGGGAGACUGACAGAGGACGAAUGGACUCAGGUCAAGGCGAGGUCUGUUAAGCAGAGGGACUCGGCUCAGCCCUGUGCAAUAUGCAGGGAGGAGUUUUGCCUUCAGCCUCAGGUGCUGCUGUCUUGCUCUCAUGUUUUCCAUAGAGCAUGUUUAAAGGCCUUUGAGAGGUUUUCUGGGAGGAAGUGCUGCCCAAUGUGCAGAAAGGAGCAGUAUGAGACACGGGUGAUCCACGAUGCAGCUCGCCUCUUCAGACACCAAUGUGCCACCAGAAUUCAAGCUUGCUGGCGAGGCUACGUUGCUCGGAAAAGGUACAGAAAAUUGAGGAAAUCCAUUUGCCCAAAAGACAAACGGCUACGACGGAAAUUCUUCGAAGCAAAGUUGCAGGAGUUGAAUGACAGCUUUGUCCGAUACUGUCACACCGACACGGAGGCUUUUCUGAGUGAUAUCAACCGCUCCCUGUCAUCAAGCAGACGAGUGUUCCAGCAGCUGGAGAGAAAGCACGUCUCCGAGCCUCCGGAGAGCGACUGGGACCGAAUACAGAGCCAGGUGAUCCAGAGAGAUGUCAGGGACUGCCCCAUCUGCCUGACUGCACUGUGCAGCCCGAGCCUCCCAACAGAAACCGCUACAUCCAGCCAUCAACAAUGCAGACGCACUGUGCUUCUGUCCUGCUCCCACCUCUUCCAUCAGCGCUGUUUAGAGGCCUUUGAGGCCUUUUCUAUAGAGAGCAGACCUUCCUGUCCCCUGUGCAGAUCUGUCUACCACAAAAAGCUCAUCUGACAAGUUUGGUGCUACGGCUUUAACCAAGAGACUGCCAUUAUUUGAUCCCACCACUUAUACCUGUCCCAGGAUCUAAGCGGGGAAAGUUUGAACCCUCCGAGCAAAUGCAGUCACAACACAACAGGAAAUGUCACGGACAGUUCAACAGCUCUUUUUCUCCAGAGACGAACUGAACACUCUGCCUCGGGGUAGCCAAAUCUGCUCAGCCGGCCGUAGAGGAAAAUGGUGAGAAUUUCAACUGCAGUAUCUUCAAUGACAUCACCCUAAACUGGAGUUAAAUAUAUCCUUCUUCUCCUGCUGCUGGCAACAUCAAGUCAGAGACUGAGUUACAGCGAGGCAGAGAUGCUGAGUGAGGCUUCUGGCAGCCAGGAAGGCCCGGAGUAAUUCAACGUAUCCUCUCCAACCUUCACCACAGUCGAAAAAUUACGUCAUCCACACAUAUGCUAAACACCAUGCUGAGACAACAGAGGCACCGGCAAGGUCAUUGUGCCGCAUAGCAUCUGGACAGGCGCUCUGUUGCUCUGCUAUCAGCAGAUCAGGGUCUUGAGAGGGCAGCGUGGACAAGUGUGUGUAUGCCACAGUGAGUGUACUGCAGUAUGUCUGUGUACUCUGGUUAUUAGAUUGCACUUUUACAGUAUCUUCUAAGCUAAUAACCCAUUUAAAUCAGAAACACAGUGGUUAUCUAAUUGGAUACAAUUUGCAGACAUUAGGUUGGAUCUACAACCUGAAUUCUUUGAGGCAAAGUUCUUUCAGCAGGGAAGACUCAUCUUGAAGAUGCUUUUAGAUUCAUAUUAAGAAGACAAGACCAGUUGUGCGCACUAUUCCGUCAAACAUAAGCACCACUUUGUGUUUCCCUUUAAGUAAAGCAUUUUUGCUUGUAUCGCAACUUCAAAAAUUACCUCUUUUGUCUGGGAUAUCUAUAACUUUUGUAAACUUGGCAGUUGCAGUGUGUAGGAUCUGGCGACAUCUAGUGGUGAGGUUGCAGAUUGCAACCCACUAAAACCUCUCCCGUGUGCAAAGAGUGUAGGAGAACUACGCGAAUGGCCCCAUCUGGAGCCAGUAGUAAGAGUAGCAUAGGUAGUUUAGAGAAUAGCAGAGCCAGUGUAUAUUGAGUUUAUGUGUACGCGGUAAGUUACAUGUAGUGGUGAAGCAAGAGAGAGAGAGCGGCGGCGAAUGUGUGUGAGCAAAAAAGUGAGCUAAUGGAGCAGAAGACAGAGUUAGUUUAGCUUUGAGAAUAUCAAGUGAAUGUGCGGAAAUAAAUGCUGCAGCUCCUCAAAA